CACGUAGGGUGCGAGCGUUGUCCGGAAUUAUUGGGCGUAAAGAGCUCGUAGGCGGUGUGUCGCGUCGGCCGUGAAAACUUGCAGCUUAACUGUGGGCGUGCGGUCGAUACGGGCAUCACUUGAGUUCGGCAGGGGAGACUGGAAUUCCUGGUGUAGCGGUGAAAUGCGCAGAUAUCAGGAGGAACACCGGUGGCGAAGGCGGGUCUCUGGGCCGAUACUGACGCUGAGGAGCGAAAGCGUGGGGAGCGGACAGG
rnacentral:rRNA from 1 species